UACGAAGGGGGCUAGCGUUGCUCGGAAUCACUGGCGUAAAGCGCACGUAGGCGGACUCUUAAGUCGGUGGUGAAAUCCUGGAGCUCAACUCCAGAACUGCCUUCGAUACUGAGAGUCUCGAGUCCGGGAGAGGUGAGUGGAACUGCGAGUGUAGAGGUGAAAUUCGUAGAUAUUCGGCAAGAACACCAGUGGCGAAGGCGGCUCACUGGCCCGGUACUGACGCUGAGGUGCGAAAGCGUGGGGAGCAAACAGGAUUAGAAACCGAGUA
rnacentral:rRNA from 1 species